UCAACCGACGUGCCAGGGGCGGCGGUAGUACGUAGGGUUGUAGGUUUAUCCUGAAUCCGUGGGGGUAAGGGCGGCGUGGGCGGCGCGUUAAGUGGGAUGUGAAACCGUGUGGCUCAACCAGAUCGUGGCAUCGCAUACUGGCGCGCUAGAGGACGGCAGAGGCAAGUGGAAUUGGUAGUGUAGCAGUGAAAUGCGUAGAUAUUACCAGGAACACCAAUGGCGAAGGCAGCUUGCUGGGCCGACCCUGACGCUGAGGUACGAAAGCGUGGGGAGCGAACAGGAUUAGAUACCCUUGUAGUC
rnacentral:rRNA from 1 species